UACGGGAGGUGCAAGCGUUGUUCGGAGUGACUGGGCGUAAAGCGCACGUAGGCGGGCUUGUAAGUCGGAUGUGAAAUCCCUAGGCUUAACCUAGGAACUGCAUCCGAAACUAUAAGUCUUGAAUAUCUCAGAGGUUGGUAGAAUUCCUGGUGUAGGAGUGAAAUCCGUAGAUAUCAGGAGGAAUACCGGAGGCGAAGGCGGCCGACUGGGAGAAUAUUGACGCUGAGGUGCGAAAGCGCGGGGAGCGAACGGG
rnacentral:rRNA from 1 species